rnacentral:rRNA from 1 species
UACGUAGGGUGCGAGCGUUAUUCGGAAUUACUGGGCGUAAAGCGUGCGUAGGCGGUUGCUGAAGUCCGUUGUGAAAGCCCCGGGCUUAACCUGGGAAUGGCAGUGGAAACUAGGCGACUUGAAUCUGGCAGAGGGGGGCGGAAUGCCACGUGUAGCAGUGAAAUGCGUAGAGAUGCGGAGGAACACCGAUGGCGAAGGCAGCCCCCUGGGCUAACACUGACGCUCAGGCACGAAAGCGUGGGGAGCAAACAGG